AUUGAACGCUGGCGGCAGGCCUAACACAUGCAAGUCGAACGAGUGGCGGACGGGUGAGUAAGGUCUGGGAAACUGCCUGAUGGAGGGGGAUAACUGCUGGAAACGGUAGCUAAUACCGCAUACCCUCGGAUGUGGCCAGAUGGGAUUAGCUAGUAGGUGGGGUAAAGGCUCACUGAGGCGACGAUCCAUAGCUGGUCUGAGAGGAUGACCAGCCACACUGGAACUGAGACACGGUCCAGACUCCUACGGGAGGCAGCAGUGGGGAAUAUUGCACAAUGGGCGAAAGUCUGAUGCAGCCAUGCCGCGUGUAUGAAGAAGGCUUUCGGGUUGUAAAGUACUGUCAGCGGGGAGGCGUUACCCGCAGAAGAAGCACCGGCUAACUCCGUGCCAGCAGCCGCGGUAAUUC
rnacentral:rRNA from 1 species